rnacentral:lncRNA from 1 species
ACACAUCUAACCACUCUUCAGCUGAUAUCCACUUGCUGACAAAUGAAUCUCUCUGGCCCCUGGACUGUGCCCUGAAACACAGCUUAAAACAGCAGAAUGAACAGUAAUCCCAGAGAUCCUGAGAUGAGAAAAGGGUGUUUGACUUAUUCAAAGAAGACCAAGGAAGCCCAAAGACCAGAGAAGAGUGCAGGAAAGGGGCGGCGGUCUGAGAUGCAGUCAGAGCAGUGGCAAGCCCCCAGAGUCUGUGGCAAAGACUUCAGGUUUCAUCCUGAAGAGGAAGACAGGUCUUUGGAGAGUUUUGAUCAAGGAAGUGAGAUGAAAUAUCUUAGGCUUACAAAGAACUACUCUGACAUCUAAAUGGAAAAUGGACUGAUGAAGCAAAAGAAGCCACAAGGAAGCCAGUUCAGAGGCUAUUGAAAUGCUCCAGAGGAACAGCGGUUUAUUGAAAGGAAAGCAAAUGUCCAGAAGCAAAAACAAACAAACAAAAAACAAACAAACAAACAAAAACAGAAAAAACUUCCCCAAAAGUAAAGAAUCACAGCUUUAUUCAGUAGCUCCUCAAUUAAAAUAGUCAUCUUCUUAAUUGUGCCAUCUUCAGAAGCAGCCAUAUAUACUGUAGUUAAGAGGCACAUGGUGAGAAAUUUGGGGUCCAAUCAAGAUGAUAGGAUUCAUCUACAUGGCAGCCCUCAAAGAUUCUGGAAGAGAAAAAUGGUGAAAAGAUACUCAGAGAGUGAGAGCCUUCAGAUUUGGGUGAGUGAUGCCAUUAGAACCAAGAUUUCUUCCAUUCUUCUGCUCUAUCAUUCUCAGCACAACAUGCUUUUCUCAUUAAGCCCUAUAUUAGGUAUUGAGGGUUCAGGGAUGAACUAAGCUGAUCUGGUUCCUGCUCUCUAGGCUGUAGAAGAUGGCAAGUGCUGUGGACUUCAAAGAAAAGAUUUCUGAAGUGUCAUGUUAUGACAAUUGUGAUGCUUCAAACUAUGUUGACUAUUCAUUUACAGCAUAAAGAAGAGUGAGCCACUUUAUCACUGCAGUAAUUAUAUUUUAAAAAUAAAGAAAAUAAAACAAAUGGAGUUUCCCACCCAAUCCAUGGAGACACAGACACGAAGUCUUACUAUAGAUGUGUGGCCAAUCCUUACAUUGCUUUUAUUACAAGCCUGGAAAUGACAAUAAAAUACAUGAACUUGAGAGUAUAUA